CUACUUCCGGACACUUUUCAGCGGCUAGUCCCACACGGUUUGCGUCACCGUCACUAAACACUGGGAGAGGUGUGUUACUACUUUUCACUUCUCGCGCAUGUAACCAAAAACGCACGAUUUCGCCCCCUAGAGAAUGAAUGGGGAAUAAAACUCAAGGUGUCACGCUGACAUGCUCGUAUCACAUAUCCUUUUGUAAGUGUUAGGGAGCAAACCUGGCAUAUACACACUGCGUUUCUGAAUGUGUGCCGGAAAUGUUCGGAACAUGCUGUUAUUCCGGGACCAUCGAAAAUAAAGGGAAAUUUUGGAGCUCGCCUAACUCCCACAGCAUCAGUGACACAGACAUGAAUGAAUGUUUGGCUUAGUCCAGACGAUCAGGAAAUUCCUUUGGGAAUGGAUCCCAUGUGGAUGUUGCAGGGAAUUACACACUAAUGUAAAAUGAGUCUAGAGAUCAAACAGCCGAACCGAGACACGGGCUGCGUCCGGAACCGCACACUUACCUACUGCACAGUAGGCGAAAAGCAGUACACCAGAGGGGUAGUAUGUCCGAAUUCUCAGUAGGCGAGAAAUACCCGGAUGGUGUACUGCUUCCGGCUAGAUUUUGUAGUAUGCAACUGAUGACCUGCGUGAAGUUGACCCCGACCCAACGCAAAACGUCGGCAAAAUAGUCUGAAUCAUUUGUGCUCCGUUUGUGCCGAUGAAAGUUCCGUUUGAGCUGCUUCAGUUUUUUAAAUAUUAGAUAUUAAAUUAUAGGCGAUGACGUCACCAACCCCCACACGCUCCAAAUUCACCCCCAAAUAGUCUCAAUCGUUUGUGCUAAUAAGAGCUUCAUUUUUGCGACUGUCUUUCUUUUUUUUAACAAUACAGUUGAAGAAACAAAGUAACAUCCAAAUGGCAAAACAAAUCACAUUAAAUAGUCGUAUUCACUUAAUUGUUAACUAUCUACUGUGCGUUUUCAACUUUUAAGGGACACAGCGGAGCACAGGAUGUGUGAAAUGUAACACGAACUCCAAGACAUUCCAGUCACUCCACUUCUCAGGUCUUCAUACAUCUCCCAGACACAUGGAGACCUCCUGCAGUAGGCCACAUAAUGCCCAAGAGCAUCCUGGGUAAAGCCUCCUCUGAAAGCAAUGACUGCCCUUAGAGUAAAUCUCUCUCCUUGGAGCAUCAGAUUGGAGGGAAUUUCACAGGUGCUUCCCAGGUCAGUGUCCAUAAACAGAAGUUCUACCAGACUGUAACUGUGAGAAACAUUCCUUGCACAGAGCACUUUUCCUGAGGUAGAGUCUGUCUUGAAUUCAGAGGGACAGUGUGACGGACUUUGGAUUGGCCUCAGGCAGGGGGACUCCGGAAAGUUAAGGCCUUCUUCCACUGCCGUCUGAAGGUGAGCCAUGCUAGAAGCCUGCAGUACAGCAACAGAAGUACAAACAAAUGGAAUUUCCCUUGUGACAUCUGUGCUGACCCUGCAAUACUGUGAGGAGCACUGUUGUGUGAAGGAAACACAUGCACGUUGUGUCAUUGACUUUUCAAUGAUCAUGGAGAUGUGGCACUGGCAUCGAUUUGGAGAGCACCAGAUUUCAAUUGGACAGCUUUGAAUAUUCCACUCAGCAGCUCUGCCCUCUGUAUGUAGACCUGUGCAUUCAGACCCUUUGUGGUGAUUGUUUUCACUAGCUGGAGGAGGUUGUUGGGGUCCUCAAACAAUAUUUCCAAAAGUGACACUUUUGCAUAAAGCACAACAUGAGCAUUGACAAAAAAGCAUCAAAUGCACGUGUUCAUCACAGAGAUUAUUGAUUUCCUGAGUUUAACAGGAUGUUAUUUCCAUUUUUCAACAGUUCUGCUUUCAGUCUUUUCCCCCUCAUGGAUGGAUCUGCAUGGAGCCAUUCAGGACAAGGAGAGGGGUAUGACUUCAUUUCCCUCUUUUUUUUGGGUGGAACUGCUAAGCCUCUCCAGUUUUCUACAGCGGAUGGAUGUUUGUGACCUUGUCAGACUUCCCAGAACAGGAAGCAUCCAUUUCUUGUUUUCUGUCUACACUGCAAGUUGUGGUGGGUAGUGGAUUGGCUCCUGUGAUUAUCACUGUUGUGACAGCUGCAUCUUCUUCACCUUCUUCACUUUUUUGUUUUGCAUAACAAAUUCACAUAUUAACCCUCAAUUAAGGACACAUGUCACACAAUGAAUCGAUCCACCCGAAUAGGCAAGUUUUCAUGCUUGAAAAGCCUGUGGUUGAUGUUUUUGAACUCUGCUUCAACAUUGGCUGAACUUGCGAGGGAGGGAUCAUUACCCCUGUCCAGAGUGGUCCCCACCCUCGACAUCUGGAAUGAUUACACACUCUUCUGCAAUUCGGGCUUUCAGCAGUCCCACUGGCAGAUCAUCUUGAUGCACUGUGCAACAUCAACCCGAACAAAACAAGGUGGCACUUUUGCUGACUCUUUACUGAGUGAGACACCACAACACUCAUUGAUGUAGGUCUUCAGAUCAGGACGAGGAGUAAAAGCCUUGACCAUAGCUCCCAGCAAAGCCAGAGAAAAGUCACACACAACCUCUUUUGGAAUUGGUACACCUGCACGUAUCCAUUCUGUCAGCCAAUGUGUUAUUGCAUUAACAUCGUGUCUCUCUGACUGCAUUUGCACCACUGGGACACUUGAACUCACAUCCCUGCCAGAACACUCUGAUAUAAGAUAUGGCCAGACAUGCCAUUUGGUCUCAGUAGUUUCCUCACUACUGAGUCAGUUGCAUCAAAACUCACAGUGGGGGUGGCCAAAUUAGGCAGAUGGAUUGGCUCAGGAUCUCCAAAAUCCAUCAGCUUUGUUGCCUCUGAUGCCCUCCAUACAUGGAGUUGCAUUCUGCUCUCACACAGUUCUUUGGCUGUCUGCACAUGCAAGUUACCAGACAUCGCAUGCUUGGAACAGCCAGUGUGCAGGGAGUCAUUAGUGUUUUUAAUUAAACACUUGAGCACCAUUGGGCUGUUCAUUUCACACUGUCAAAUUUUAUGUGAAUGUGGCCAAGGCAUUCCUUACAGUUGCCUCUGAUUUCUAUGAAUUUCUCUGUGGCUGAUUGAUAGACCUUGGCUCUUUUAAAGGCUAAUGUGCAGGGGCUUUUCACUUCUUGCCAAAUGUGAUUAUUUAUCACAUGUGUCCAGAUGCCAGGCUUCAAAGUUGUGUAUUCCCUUUUUUGUGUUUUAGAGAACUUGUUUUUGUAUUGAACUGUUUCAGGCCUAAAUUCAAUCCAUUUUUGAAAUGGAACUUCAACAUCAAAAAGUCCAGCAGUCUUUUGGUCUGGGGGAAAAGGGACCCUGGCUCAAAAUCAGUGUCAUCAUUACUGCCACUUGUUUCAUGAUCACUUUCAUAAAUAAACCCUAAAGCAGUCCAGAUGUUGUGUCUGUUCAAUUUAACAAACGUAUAUAGAGCCUUUGCAGUGAGCUUGUUUUUUUUGCUGCUCACUAAGCUCUGUCCAGAUGCUCUGAUUAGGAGUAGCUAUGUUGUCAUUUUGGACUAUGGCCUCUUUUGAUGAACAGAGGACUGUGAAAAUGGACUCCCUGAUGAAUGCUGGUUUCUUGGGCAUCUACCCACUGAAAUAAUGUAUUUUAAUCAUGUACAUUAUGUAUGUAUAUUAAUCAUGUAUUACUGUAUUUGCCUGAAUACAAGGAAAAUGUAAUAUAGUAUUAAUAUAUUAGGUUAUUAUAUCUUAUAUUAGGACCAAUAUGGUAAUGUUGACCCCUAGAUGCAUAACCUAUUCAAAAAAACUAAUAAGGGUACCAUGUACAGCUGUAAUUAGCAUUUCAUAGCUCAAUUAGCCAUAUUAGUAUUAGCAAGGAGUUUUCUGUUCAAUAAACAUUGACAAUCUUAGCUCUCUUGAAUGUUGUACCAUUUGGUGUGUAUAUGUUUAAAAUUGUAGUAUGUUGUUCAAAUAUUGUACCAGUGACCAGAAUGUAUCUACCUUCAGGGUCCUGUUCCUGGUAUUCCAGAACAAGUGGGAUAUUUUUGUGUAUUAGUAUAGUGGUGCCUAUCCUAUUUGAACUGUAUGAGGAGGAAUAGAUUUGAUCAACAGUUUCAGUCUCUUUUAGGUUGUAAGUGUUCAUCGAGGGAUAAGUGAGUUUGCUGUAAUAGUGCUAUAGUAACAUUUCAUUUGUUUGUUUUAGAAAUGCAAGAAUAUAACAACAGUGAAUCCGAGAACAGUACCCUAGUAACCCCCCCAAACCAACACACACCCCCUCCACGGCUACUCAGGAGUUUCCCCAACAACCUCCAACUUCCAUUGUCCAUUUCCAAACUGCCCCACGGCUGAAGGGAACAUCCACCUUUGAAUUUAAUUUUGUCUGAAAACAUACACACACUGUCCACUUUAAUAGGAACACCUAUACAAUGCAUUCAUGCAGGUAUCUUAUCAGCCAAUCAUGUGACAGCAGCGCAAUGCAAAACAUCUGACUGGUUUGAGCUGACAGGAAAUCUAUAAUAACUCAAAUAAUCACUAUUUACAAUCAUGAUGAGCAAAAAAGAAUGACAACAGAUCAGACCUUGAGGUGGAUGGGUUAACACAACAGAAGACCAUAUCAGGUUCCAAGAACAAGACUCUGAGGCUAUCAUGGGCACAGACUCACCCACACUGGACAGCUGAAGACUGGAAAAAAAACAAGUGAUUUUUUUCCCCCUAAUCUUCAACUCUCCAGUUUCGGUUAGUAGUUAGCAUGUUAGCCUCACACCUCCAGGGUCGGGGGUUCGAUUCCCACCGUGGCCCUGUGUGUGCGGAGUUUGCAUGUUCUCCCCAUGCUGCGGGGGUUUCCUCUGGGUACUCCGGUUUCCUCCCCCAGUCCAAAGACAUGCAUGGUAGGCGGUAUUGGUAUUUCCAAAGUGUCUGUAGUGUAUGAAUGGAUGUAUGAAUGGGUGUAUGAAUCAUUGUGCCCGGGGGCCAUCUUCGGUUGUCUUGACUCGGUCUUGCCACUGGAUCAUGGUGGUCACCGGGAAGUGAGACUUUGGCUGACGCUGUGCAAGUCUUCCUCACUAUAAUCCAAUUCACGCCCAAGUCGAGUUCCAGUUUGUGUUCUCCAUAAUGGAGGCAGAAAUGGAAACUUCAGUCUUUGUCAAAAUCGACGGACGAACUCCUCUGUGUGUGUGUGUGCUACCCUGUGAUGUGUUGGUGGUCCAUCCAGGGUGUAUUCCUGCCUCACGCUCAGUGUUCCUGAGAUAGACUCUUGAUCCACCACCACUCUGAGCAGGAUAAAGUGCUUUUUGAAGAUUCAAGAGAGAGAAAAAGAGAGAGAGGGAAUGACUGUUUACAGCUGCUACAAUGUAAGUUCGAACAGGAACUAAUUUGUUUUGUGGAUGUCAUUGUGGUUGUACUCCUUUUGUUUAAAACAAUAAUCUGAUUUAGCAGCUAGGAUCAAAAAAAAGAAAAGCAGAAAGAUUAUUUUUGCUUCAGUUUUAAUUAAUAAAGCAGCUAUUGUGUUAUGAUAUAAUAUUACAAUAUAUAUUACUUUUAUUUAGCUAAUUUUGUUCUUGGCUAUAAUAUAUAAUAUUUGUGGUUCUUUUCCUUAUCAAAAGCAAAUGCAGUUGACUUAUACAA